UACGGAGGGUGCAAACGUUGCUCGGAAUCAUUGGGCGUAAAGCGCACGUAGGCGGCUCGAUAAGUCGGAUGUGAAAUGCCUCGGCUCAACCGAGGACGUGCAUUCGAAACUGCCGAGCUUGAGUAUGGAAGAGGGUCGCGGAAUUCCCGGUGUAGAGGUGAAAUUCGUAGAUAUCGGGAGGAACACCAGUGGCGAAGGCGGCGACCUGGGCCAAUACUGACGCUGAGGUGCGAAAGCGUGGGGAGCAAACAGG
rnacentral:rRNA from 1 species